UUUCCUUUUUCUUUGUAAUGAAUGGAGGGCGGCGGCGACUGCAGCAGCUGGCUUAGCUGCGUGGGUUGUACCCUCCUCCCAGCCUGCGAGAGGAGGGCCUUCUCAGGGUCACCUGAGAACACAGCUGGUUUCUGGAGUAUUCUUCUCCAUGUCCAGGAUUUCCUCUGUGCUUCAGGGAAAGGGAGACGCCUGCCUCUGGGACAGCAUACAGAACAGGUUCAGGAAGAGACAGCCCAGGGACCCUUCUCUUCUAUUUUGAGAGACUGCCUUUAGCGAUCCUUAACAUUGUCCACGGCCAUUACAACAUCAAAAAGAGGCAUGAGCCAAAUGUUCUUCACAGGAAACUGGCCAGGUGCUCUCCUGGUCCAUGCCAGUUUGAUGAACUUGGCAAGAGACAGCACAGAGAGACUCCUGCUGCUGCUGCUGCUGCCUCCGCCCCUGCUACUGCUGCUGUUGCUGCUGUUGCUGCUGUGAGAGAUGCCAGCUGAAGCCAGGAGGGAAGGAAGUGGGAGGAGACCGGCCUAAGCAGGCUUAAUUUCAUUAUGAAUUCCUGCCUAUUCUGAGCAGAUUGUCCCCAAAUUUGUCAUUAAAAGUGCAAUUUCCUCUAUGCAAACUAUCUUUUCAAGGACCCCAGGAAAGAUGAUGAGAACAGGAAAUGGGGUUUCCAAUUAUUCAUGUCAGUAAUGAACUUGAUUCGGUAUUCAUUUCUGUAUGGAUUCUGCGUUCUGUUCACUCUUGUUCGGUAAUAAAGUUAGCUAUUCCUUUUAA
rnacentral:lncRNA from 1 species